rnacentral:tRNA from 2 species
GCGCCCGUAGCUCAGCUGGAUAGAGCGUCGGUCUACGGAACCGAAAGUCGGAGGUUCGAAUCCUUCCGGGCGCGACA